rnacentral:rRNA from 1 species
UACGGGGGGAGCAAGCGUUGUUCGGAUUUACUGGGCGUAAAGGGCGCGUAGGCGGUCAGCACAAGUCAGUUGUGAAAUCUCCGGGCUUAACUCGGAAAGGUCAACUGAUACUGUGCGACUAGAGUGCAGAAGGGGCAACUGGAAUUCCUGGUGUAGCGGUGAAAUGCGCAGAUAUCAGGAGGAACACCGAUGGCGAAGGCAGGUCUCUGGGCCACUACUGACGCUGAGAAGCGAAAGCAUGGGGAGCGAACAGG